rnacentral:rRNA from 1 species
ACUCCUGCGGGAGGCAGCAGUGGGGAAUAUUGGACAAUGGGCGCAAGCCUGAUCCAGCCAUGCCGCGUGAGUGAUGAAGGCCCUAGGGUUGUAAAGCUCUUUCACCGGUGAAGAUAAUGACGGUAACCGGAGAAGAAGCCCCGGCUAACUUCGUGCCAGCAGCCGCGGUAAUACGAAGGGGGCUAGCGUUGUUCGGAUUUACUGGGCGUAAAGCGCACGUAGGCGGACUAUUAAGUCAGGGGUGAAAUCCCGGGGCUCAACCCCGGAACUGCCUUUGAUACUGGUAGUCUUGAAUUCGAGAGAGGUGAGUGGAAUUCCGAGUGUAGAGGUGAAAUUCGUAGAUAUUCGGAGGAACACCAGUGGCGAAGGCGGCUCACUGGCUCGAUACUGACGCUGAGGUGCGAAAGCGUGGGGAGCAAACAGGAUUAGAAACCCCAGUAGUCCCA